rnacentral:lncRNA from 1 species
AACCUCGUCUCCCAGAAGAACCAGUUUCUCGUUAUAACAGAACUUCAAUAUCUCUCUUAUGUUAGCUUCGCUUAGACACUGGCCAGUUGGGUUCCCAGGGUUAAUGAUCACCAUUGCCCUUACCUGUACAUGCAUUCAAGACAAUUUGUAACUGGAGCAAGAAAGACAUCACCGAUUAUUGCAAGAGAAGAAGGAAAAAGAGUGCUUACUGUUAUCCCUUGAGAACGAGCCUGAGCAACGGAUUGUCGAAGGUUAGCAACAUCAAGUCCCCAGUUUUCAGACUCAUCAAGAUAGUAAGGAACAAGAGUACCACCUAACAGUGAUAUGGUAGCUGAGUAAAGUGGAUACUGU